AGAGCGGAUGGAAGUGCAGCAUGCUGUCCCUGGCUUCAGCAACUUGGAGAUAACUUGAUAACGCUGCCAGCAACAGAAUUUUUGGCCUCAGGCACUUCUCUUUCUCCAUUGCAGAGAAACUGAGAAAUUCAGGAAAGUUUAAUUUGUGUGCACAUCAUUUGGAACCACCUCCAGCUUUUUUU